ensembl:miRNA
GAAAGUUAGUUUGGAUUUUUCUAUACCCUCUUAUGGAAAAACCUGAACCAACUUUUUGG